AACGCGAAGAACCUUACCUGGGUUUGACAUCCCCUUGAACAUAUCUAGAGAUAGAUUUGGGCUCGCAAGAGACAGAGGAGACAGGUGCUGCAUGGCUGUCGUCAGCUCGUGUUGUGAAAUGUUGGGUUAAGUCCCGCAACGAGCGCAACCCCUGCUUUUGGUUGCCAUCAUCUAAGGUGGGCACUCCAGAAGGACUGCCGUCGUUAAGACGGAGGAAGGUGGGGAUGACGUCAAGUCCUCAUGGCCUUUAUAUCCAGGGCGACACACGUGAUACAAUGGUAGGUACAGAGGGUAGCCAAGUCGUAAGACGGAGCAAAUCUCAAAAAGCCUAUCUCAGUUCGGAUUGAAGUCUGCAACUCGACUUCAUGAAGUUGGAAUCGCUAGUAAUCGCGGAUCAGCACGCCGCGGUGAAUACGUUCCCGGGCCUUGUACACACCGCUCGCGA
rnacentral:rRNA from 1 species